GACUGAGGAGUAAGAGCAGCGUGAAAGAGGGCAGAAGAGCGGCGAAUGAAAUUUGUUAUUGUCUACGUUCCUCCCCCCUCACGUGCAGUUUGUCAUCAGUGACAGUGGAAUUAUCCCUCUCAACUAUAAUCUCAACCUCCACUGCUAAUCUCAGGCUCGCCCGAGCACCACUCCUCCUCCGGAUGACGUCCCCAUAAGCAAAUUAGCACGCAGCCUAAAGCAGAGGCACUCAGCUGGCAGCACCAUCAGGGGAAACAAGAGGAUGACACGUUCCCCAACAGACUCCUAAUUGCCAACUGGUUUUGCGAUUUCUGACAGUUUAGGCUCGGCCAAGUUUGACAAAAAAAAAAAACUAAACUAAACUAAACAAAGAAACGACAAGAAGUUUCCGAUCAGCAGGAUGGAUGCCAGAGAACAGGCGCUGAACCUCCUCGGCAGAAUCUGGGUCAAGCUUCAAGGUCUGCCCAACGCCAACCCCAUAGAGCUGGGAGCUUUCUUCGUCCUGCUAACUUUUAUUCUUGUAGUCCUGCUCAUCACAGUGGUGACCUGUGCAAGCUUCUGCUGCGGUUGCUGCAGCUGCUGCUGUCGCAAGAGAAAACUAAAGGGUUCCGACCUUUGAGCAAAAACAGACACAACUGCAAGCUCUCCACACGGCGAGUCCUGAUCGUGUUUUAGAAACACACACACACUCUACAGGGUGCAUGCUGUGCUGUGCAGCACUAAAGAACCUCAGCCCUUGGACAACAAAACACUUGCCAAACACAGUGAAGGAUGUCCUGCAACGCUGCCAAACACACCAGUUUAAGUCAACAGGCUUUCAGGAGAGUCUACAUUCCUUGGAGCAUCACUGCACUCGACGGGGCAACAACGAUCCCUGAGGACAGGGCAGGGGCAACUCCAGCUGUGUGUGAAUCAGGCAGAAACGUCUUGGACCAUACAAGACUGAACAUGUGUAUAAAACUAACUUUAGGCAAACAGUGAGAAAUGACUGGGAAAGCCCGAUUGGAUUUUUUUUUUCCCUCAGAGCUUUCUAAACAUGAUGAUGUGUCACUCUAAAGGAAUGAGAACUGGCAGUCAGACUUCUGAGUUAGGCAAGAGCCUCAAGCAGGAAGCAGCUUUCAAAGGAUGGUAAGAGAGGAUGUCUGCCCUCUGCUGUCCAGAAACAGAAAUGCACUCUUUAUCUAAAACUGCACAUUACAUACUGUGGAACAGGUGAAGGUGUUAUGUUAUGAUGUAAUGCUUUAAGCCUGCACUUAUUGUCUGUUAUGCUUUGAUCUGUAUGUAAAUAAUAAUAAAAAUAAUAAUAAUAAC